GCGGGAGAGGACAGCGCCGGUCUGUGCGCCCGGAGGAGCUGCUGCUGUUGCUGCUGCUGGAGUUGGAUGAGCUGCUGGAAGACGAGCUGGGGAGAGGAGAGCUGGAGGACGGGGAAAGAAAGCAUUUCUACUGAGAAGGGCUUGCUGCUUCUGGUGGAUCAGAGCCUGCAGCUGGUUGGGAGCCAGAAACUGCUGCAUCUGCUGAGGGGCCAUCAUAGCAAGAAAGACCUCAAAGAAGAAGGGGAAGGACAACAUUUUAAAGGAAAGUCAGGAGUGCAGUCAAAACAAUAACUGAGACAGAGUGUCAGGUGCAGCUGGCUUCAUUAUCGCGCUUUACAAAUCACCAUGCAUCCAUUUGCUGCGUGCAGCCUGGAUACAGCAUGCCACCUUUAUCAUAUAAACGUCCUCGACGAGGGUGAGGACUAAAGGCCAGACAGCCACGUCCUUGUAAUUUAUCUCCUGUUGGUAUGAAGGAUCGCAAGGAGUAACAGCUGAGGGAAAUGGACUUGUACAUCUACACAAAAAGUACAACAAGAUUAGACUUCAUAGCAGGCGCCUUUCAAGACACUCAAGGACACCUUACAAGCAAUUAAGUAUCAAAAUCACAAUAUGGAUAUAAUAACAGUUGGAAAACACCAUCGAAUUAAAAGUCAAUACAUCAAUAAAUACUACGUGUUGUGUGUAUUCACAUCUUAUAUUUGUUCUGCCUCCAGCUUGUUCUGCUUCAUUAUAAAAUUAUUUAGGGAUUUGAAAAGAGUUCUUUUAUUUGUUUUGGUUUUUUAAAACUCUUUUACUGUUUCACUCUUUCACAACUGGAGACUGGAAACCUAACAGGUUACAGUGGUGGUGUCCUAGCCUUGAUUGUGUGUGACUCUGUUUCAGUUCAGUAACCAACCCACUGUGAUGCUCUAAGCCUCAUAAUGUGAAAAGGUCCACUCCGAAAAACUCAUUUUAUUCCUCUAUGUAUCCUGCAGACGGCAUUGUGGCUCCACCUGAGCUAAGGACUUCACAAACCAGUCGUUGUGCUCGUUGCUGUUCCUCCAAACAGGGCUGGGGUUCCUGAGGUAGAGAAACUGUUCCUUCAUUCAUCUGUAAAGAGACCUCAGGUUGAGUUUCUGGGAGGGGGAGGACAUGAUGACUUUGGCAAUCAGAGCAACACC